rnacentral:rRNA from 1 species
GACGAACGCUGGCGGCGUGCUUAACACAUGCAAGUCGAACGAAGUGGCGAACGGGUGAGUAACGCGUAAUCAACCUGCCCUGCAGAGGGGGACAACAGUUGGAAACGACUGCUAAUACCGCAUACUGAAGGAGGGGAUUGCGUCGGAUUGGGUAGUUGGAGGGGUAACGGCCCACCAAGGCGAGGAUCAGUAGGCGGUCUGGGAGGAUGAACGGCCACAUUGGGAAUGAGACACCGCCCCGACUCCUACGGGAGGCAGCAGGUGGGAAUCUUCCGAAAUGGAGGAAAGUCUGACGGAGCAACGCCGCGGGAGUGAUGACGGCCUUCGGGUUGGAAAGCUCUGUUAGUCGGGACGCGGUACCGGAAUAGAAAGCCACGGCUAACUACGUGCCAGCCGCCGCGGUAAUAC